CUUCCCUCAGGAUAGCUGGUGCAUUUUAAUGUUAUAUAAAACAAUCGUAUCUGUUAAAUCUAAAUAUUAGAGGCCUAAGAUCGAAACGAUCUAAAAUUAUUCUCAAAUUAUAAAUGGGUACUAGCCAUUACUUUCUUUACAUGAAGCUUAAGGAUAUGAUAUAAUGUGCCC
rnacentral:ncRNA from 1 species